ensembl:lncRNA
UGCUGACAGACAGCUGGGAGCUGAGAGGCGUCUGACAGGGACGAGCGAGGCAGAGAUGACAGGGUGGUGGGCGGUCCUGUCACUCUUAGCGGGACUGCUGAGCAGAGCCUCUGCUCCUUCACCUGGAGAGGUGAGCUGCUGCCACAGCAUGGCUACUGACAGAUGGAUUGUGUGGUUCGACACCCUGGAACCAAACCCAGGCCGCCAAAGUGGCCUGUCCCAAACUACAGGAAUGAGUGAGGCCUGAAAGAGACACCAGUUUUGAGAAUCCAGAGGCAGAGUCUGGGAUGCUGCCUUCUCCACCGGCCUUUGCUUGUGCCUCGCUACAGCCCACAAUCUGGAACGUGUCUGGAACAAUGAAUUUUAACUGAGAAAAUAUGAAUGUAUGCUAGCCUGGGAAACAGAACCAACACUGCUCUGUCUCUCGGGCUCUCUGUGCAUUAUAAGGGGACAUACAAAUAUGAGGAAUUUUUGCUGUUCAUAUGACCAACACAGUCUCCUCAUCUGUAAAGUGAAAUACUAGCCGCGAUGGUCUCCUGGGUUCCUUCCAAACAUGACUUUCCAAGAGCCUACGGUGUCACGUGAUGCAGAGCGGAGAAUUCCUGAAAAAUGCCUGGUCUUCCCAAGUCAGUCCUUUUCAGACAGGACUGUACGUGCCAAAAUGUGCAGAGGUAUCCUAAAUUUUCACAAAGCAAGGUCUGCCUAUCCGUUCAUUAUUCUGUAUUCUUGAGCGUCUAGUCCAUUACUCUACCUGUGGGAAGAACUUGGUGACUCAUGACUAAGCUCCCUUCAAGCCAUGGUGAUGUGUGACAAGAGCGCUUGAUGGACACAGGUAGUGGGUCUGCUGUCUCAGAGGGCGUAGCAGGAGGCAAGUCUAUUGUCUCGAGCUGGGCGGUCACAGCUGCAGGGUGAGUCCCUGGACACCAGACUGGAAAGAGCCCUGGAUGUGACGUCCGGGGAUCUGGAUGUGAGUUCCAAGCCUGUCCCAGUCAGCUGUGUGAAUUUGGGCAAUGGACCUCACCGCUCCUAUCCUCAGUUUCAUCACCUUUACUGAGAGAAUUCUGUCUACUCAGCAUCUGUCAUGGGCUGUUGAGGAAGACGAAUCUCGAAGGACAUAGAUGCAAAAGUGCUUUGGGAACUGUCCAGCGCUCGAGAGACGGGUCAUCCUUUUACCUUCUGAUUAUCUCUGGAAUCCAUCCAUGUCGUCUCUAUCAGUGGCUCCUCAAACCAGCUUCCAGCUUCUCUCAUCUGGCCUCCUGCCCACGUCAGCCCUGCUUCCAGUCUCUUCAGUAGGCGUGCAGCCAGCGAGAUCACCUGACCCUGUACCCUGAGGACUGGAGGGAAAAGCGGGAUGGAGGGCUGAGGGGCUAAAGGUAGUUUGGAUUAAGAAAAAGGGAUAUGGGUUGGGUCCCGUGGCCAAGUGGUUGGGUUCGCACACUCCCCUUCAGCAGCCCAGGGCUCGCUGGUUCAGAUCCCAGGUGCGAACCUACACGCUGUUCAUCAAGCCAUGCUGUGGCGGCAUCCCACAUGGAAGAACUAGAAUGACUCACAACUAGGAUGUGCAACUAAGUACUGGGGCUUUGGGGAGGAAAAAAAAGAGGAGGAAGAUUGGCAACAGAUGUUAGCUCAGGGCCAAUCUUCCUCAUCAAAAAGAAAGCAUAAAAAAAGAGAAAGGGAUAAAGCUGGAGAGAAAGGUGGAAUCACCUUGGUCCAAUCGACACGUAUUUAUCGAGUGGGCUGUGCUUGGUGUUGUGAGGGGGUCAGUUACAGUGUCCUGCCCUUGUGUUACUUAGCGACUCACUCCAACGUGAAACAGAUGGAGUGCGACUGAAUGCAAAGUUGUGUGCGUCUAAUCGUAAACUACUUCUGCCUGUUGCAGAAGCCCAGAGAAGCUCAUGGCGAAGGUUGGGUUUAAGACGGGACCUUGAAGAGCAAGCUGGAUGACAACGGAGAGAAGGAUGGGCUUCUGGACAGGGGGCAUCGAGGCGGUUAAUUCUCCCAGACACACCGCUGAGAGCGCCGGAGCCCUGUGGAGCUGAGACCGGGAUGGUGCUGCCAGGCUCAUUACAGGAUCCCAGAGGGAGUCUAUCAGGACAGGGUCCCCUCUCUCCCUCAGCCUCUGCAGGAGGCUCGUGCCUCUCUGCCUCCACUCCGACCCACCCUGGCAGGCCCACCCCUCGCCCGGCCCCGAGCCCCUGGAUCCCAGCCCCCUUCUGACUCUGUGCCAGGUCUCCGGCCAUGCCCACCCUCCUCGGGCCCCCCUUCGGCUUCCCGAUCUGAGCAAGGGCCAGUGCUCUGUGCUCUCUGGCGAAGAGGGCGGGGGGGGGGGCGAGGUGGCAGAGAAGUGGAGCCUGGAGAAAUCCCAAGCCAACCACACUGCCUCCCGCCAGCAUUCGACCAAAACAGCUCACCGGGAAGCAGCGGCGGUGCUCCCCGCCCUCCCACGCUCCGAGGGUCUUCUGCCCACUCAGGUGCCGCGCCUGGACAGGGUGGGCGUUUCAGGGGCGAAGGAAUGCGCGGGUGUGUGAGGACUUACCGAGCACUUGCCCCUGGCCAGGCCUUGCUCUGGCCACUCGGAUCUGCUCGUGAGAUGGAGCCGUGGGAGUGCCCGCACCAGUCAAGCCUCCAGCCCAGGGCAGCAGGCAACAAACAUCAUACCCGUGCAGAGGAUGCGGCAUACCAGAGGGUGGCAAGCAUCACAGGGAGAAACAGAGCCGAAGUAUGUGAGAGGAAGGGAAUAAGGGCCUAUGUCCUGAGGUCCAAGAAGCAAGAGGAGCCCUCCUCGACACCCACACUGUGGUGGGGACACGGUGUCUCCUGGUGACCAGCACCUGG